rnacentral:misc_RNA from 1 species
UGGACAUUCAUGAGUAUUAUUUCUCACAAAGUCAUUUGCAAGAAUUAAUACAAGAUUAAUAUAAUUAAAUAUGAUAGUAUGAACUUUAAAUAAUAAAAAGCAGCAACACUCUCUUAGUUAUAACAUGUGUUUUAUUUAAUUAUAUAUUAGGCGAACCCUAAAAAGAGACACAUGUAUAUAAUAAGCAGAAAGCAUUAAGUUACACAUUAAUAUGGAUCAUAUCCAUCGAUGCAAAUAUGAAUCACCAUGAAUUAAGAAAUUAAUUCAUGGAUUCUUCUCAUUUUCUCCUCACUUUGUUGCUGGCUUGCUUCCUGUU